GAUGAACGCUAGCGGCAGGCUUAACACAUGCAAGUCGAGGGGCAGCGCGGUGUAGCAAUACAUUGGCGGCGACCGGCGCACGGGUGCGUAACACGUAUGGAACUUACCCUUUACUGGGAGAUAGCCCGGAGAAAUCCGGAUUAAUAUCCCAUAAUAAACGAAGUGGCAUCACUUUGUUUUGAAAGCUCCGGCGGUAAAGGAUGGCCAUGCGCACGAUUAGCUAGUAGGUGAGGUAACGGCUCACCUAGGCUACGAUCGUUAGGGGGCCUGAGAGGGUUAUCCCCCACACUGGUACUGAGACACGGACCAGACUCCUACGGGAGGCAGCAGUGAGGAAUAUUGCGCAAUGGAGGCAACUCUGACGCAGCCAUGCCGCGUGCAGGAAGAAGGCGCUACGCGUUGUAAACUGCUUUUAACCGGGAAAGAACGAGUGGACUUGUCCGCUCCUGACGGUACCUGGGGAAUAAGCACCGGCUAACUCCGUGCCAGCAGCCGCGGUAA
rnacentral:rRNA from 1 species